rnacentral:rRNA from 1 species
GAUGAACGCUGGCGGCGUGCUUAACACAUGCAAGUCGAACGGAGUGCCUAUGAAAGAGGAUUCGUCCAAUUGAUUAGGUUACUUAGUGGCGGACGGGUGAGUAACGCGUGAGGAACCUGCCUCGGAGUGGGGAAUAACAGACCGAAAGGCCUGCUAAUACCGCAUGAUGCAGUUGGGUCGCAUGACUCUGACUGCCAAAGAUUUAUCGCUCUGAGAUGGCCUCGCGUCUGAUUAGCUAGUUGGCGGGGUAACGGCCCACCAAGGCGACGAUCAGUAGCCGGACUGAGAGGUUGACCGGCCACAUUGGGACUGAGACACGGCCCAG